rnacentral:rRNA from 1 species
GACGUAGGGCGCGAGCGUUGUCCGGAUUUAUUGGGCGUAAAGAGCUCGUAGGCGGCUUGUCGCGUCGACUGUGAAAUCCCGCGGCUCAACUGCGGGUCUGCAGUCGAUACGGGCAGGCUAGAGUUCGGUAGGGGAGAUCGGAAUUCCUGGUGUAGCGGUGAAAUGCGCAGAUAUCAGGAGGAACACCGGUGGCGAAGGCGGAUCUCUGGGCAUUACCUGACGCUGAGGAGCGAAAGUGUGGGGAGCGAACAGG